rnacentral:rRNA from 1 species
CCCUUAGAUGUUCUGGGCUGCACGCGCGCUACACUGAUGCACUCAACGAGUUUACGACCUUGCCCGAUAGGGUUGGGUAAUCUUUUUAAAAUGCAUCGUGAUGGGGAUAGAUUAUUGCAAUUAUUAAUCUUCAACGAGGAAUCCCUAGUAAGCGCGAGUCAUCAGCUCGUGCUGAUUACGUCCCUGCCCUUUGUACACACCGCCCGUCGCUCCUACCGAUUGAGUGCUCAGGUGAAUAAUUCGGACUGCAGCAAUGUUUGGAUCCCGAACGUUGCAGCGGAAAGUUUAGUGAACCUUAUCACUUAGAGGAAGGAGAAGUCGUAACA